rnacentral:rRNA from 1 species
UACUCCUACGGGAGGCAGCAGUGGGGAAUCUUGCACAAUGGGCGAAAGCCUGAUGCAGCGACGCCGCGUGGGGGAUGACGGUCUUCGGAUUGUAAACCCCUUUCAGUAGGGACGAAGCGCAAGUGACGGUACCUGCAGAAGAAGCACCGGCUAACUACGUGCCAGCAGCCGCGGUAAUACGUAGGGUGCGAGCGUUGUCCGGAAUUACUGGGCGUAAAGAGCUCGUAGGCGGUUUGUCACGUCGUCUGUGAAAUCCCUCGGCUUAACCGGGGGCGUGCAGGCGAUACGGGCAGACUUGAGUACUACAGGGGAGACUGGAAUUCCUGGUGUAGCGGUGAAAUGCGCAGAUAUCAGGAGGAACACCGGUGGCGAAGGCGGGUCUCUGGGUAGUAACUGACGCUGAGGAGCGAAAGCAUGGGUAGCGAACAGGAUUAGAUACCCUGG